GGGCGGUGGCCGCGGCCCUCACGGAGCGGUGGCUCCGGGAGCGCCCCCCAGUGGCGGGGCGCGGCCGCGCCCCCCCGCGCCCGAACAAAGGCGGCGGCGUCAGUGUCGCGCCCUGUCGCGAUAGCGGGGCGGGACGGCUGCGAUAGUCCCCAGGGGCAAGAACGGGCCCUUGUGGGGAAAAAAAAGCUCGUCAGUGCGGUAGCUAUUGAGCGAUACUGCAUUCGCCGGGCUUGGAAAGCUCGGAGGCCAACGAUUUCCUUCUGGAAGUUCAGGAAUUCUGAGAUGUGCGUGAUGUUUCACGUUGCGCGUUCUGUAUUUUAUUGUACAGUACGCUUGUGGUAGAACAAACUAUUAUCAAAUAGAAGCUUUAUUUUUAUAAGUUUCCUAGAGCUUUUGGAUUGUUUGCACUCAGUCGAAGGCAACCAGAAACCCCUUUUUCUGAGGGAGAUCUUUGCCGUGUAACAUCUAUCCUGUCAGCAGCUACUCACCCAGAAUACCAAAUCCUCAGCUUUAUGCAUAGUAGGAUGCUAAAGAUUUUCAAUUGAACGUAAUUUUGCAUGUGACUUUGUUUAAUUUUGCUUUAAUAACACCAGCGAGAUGAUAUUUGGAAAUUCCAUGUGUCUCAACAAGCCAAAUUGCUAGACAAAUUGAUUUUACUCGAAUUUGAUAACAAGGAAUUGCCUCUGAAGCUGAAAUUUUGCCUACCCAGUUGCCAAACCAGGUUAACAUACAGGUAAAUUAUAAAUGUCUAAAAUAUUUAAUUCAAACCAGAAUGGACUGUCAGCAGCAUUGUGAGCAGUAGCACUGUGAUAUUACUAAUAUGUGUAUAUUGCUUUCUAGUGCACCAGGUUGCUCUGUAGGUUUAUGGAAACAGCUAAUCCAGUCCUCUUGGAAGGUUGGAUGUUGCUAGAUUGGAAGAUGCUGACUUCAGUCUUUAUGGCAACAAGAAUUUUCCAUAGCCUUGGCAAUGGCUGGUGAAUCCUUAGUGUGGUUGAAAACAGGACACAGAAAAGCUCCUGUUUUCAUCCUUUCCCUAGACUCCGGCAGGUGAUCUGCUGACAAGCCAUGGCUACAUCUGAAAGGACAAUUUUAUUAAUUUUUUUCCAGAAUUCAUUUAUCUGAGACUUAUUUCUUCUGUUCUUCUGGUUACAAUUGCAAAAAUUAAAUGAAAAAAUAAUCACUAUUUCCACUUCAAUUACAGCUGGGUUUGUUAUUUCUUCCGCAUUUUAGUGGUUUUACAUUGUAGGCCUUUGAUUCAAUAGAACAAAAUAUUGUCUUCAAAAAUAAGGAAGUUGAGUGAUCAAACCAUGGUCAGAUCAUGAUAGGAUGCUUCAAGAAUAAGUUUACUAUGUUAAAUGUGCCUUUUGGUUUUGGGGUUUUUUUGUUUAUUUGUUUGAUUUGGUUUGGGUUGUUUUUGUUUUGGAAACCAAAAAUGGCAACUGUCUCCCACUAAAUGUAAUUGGGGUAAUUUAGUAUAUUUUGUAUAGUACGUUCAGACUUCAAUUUAGAAACUAUUUAGGUUAAUUUCAAUAUUGGCUUUACUUUUGAAGUUAAUGUUGCCACUUCAGCCUGGACCCUCACCAGAACAUGAAAAAUCUCAGGUAAUAAACCUUUGUUGUUUUCUACUUAGUUAUCAAAGGAUGGGAAUGAUGAAAUCAGUUGUUAAAGAUGUAAAAAAUUCAGUCAGUCAUAGGUUACUCAACGUGUCUAUGUUGCUUUUGUGACUUCUGGAGAUUUUUUUUUUCUGGUACUAUUAGACAAAAAGAUUUUCAGUAUGCACCAAGCCAUAGAUAAGUUUCAGUGUGCAUUGGCAAGAAUCAGUAGUUUUAAAUUCCCAAAGUAGUCUUCCUAAAUUGUUAGCGUUAUAAAAAAAAUAAUUGCUUUUUGCAGAUUUUGUAGAUGUUCCCACUUUUUACAUUUUCAGCAUCCAUAUAUGCUAUGACAACACAGCUCUAAUAUUGUAAACAUUUUUGGUCAUCCAGUUUUUACUAAAAAUUUGUAGUUAGUAAAAUAUUAAUGUACUGAGUGGUUUUGUACAAGCUGUAUCUUGUAAGAAGCAAAAGGUGACUUGAGCUGUGUGUAGAAGCUGCUACACUGUGAUUCCUGGGGUUUUGUGUGAGCCCAGACCCCUGGCCAUGGCUACAGGGUCAGAAUCCAGCCCUGAGCCUCCCUCUUCCAAACCACCCCUGCAACAAAACCUUUCUAUUGAAAUGAAGCCAAAUCCAGCUUAAGCUGAAAAAGAUACAGCUCUAGCCGAGCAAAUGGUGUUCUGUGCCCACUCUGACUUUAUUUGCAAAUCUGAUUUACAGGUUGUGGCAGUGGGUUAUGUGGAGAGCUGCAAACAUACAACUACAAUUGAAAAGUCCAUCACCUGCUUGACAGUUCUACUCUGCCAUGCAGGCGUAGGGGUUUUAUUUCUGACUUUUAUUCUGCAGUGCUUUUACAGAGCCCCAGCAUCAGCAGCUGUGGCACAGACAUCUGGGAGUGUUCCUGUGCCAGUGGCAAAGCCGAGUUGUCGUGCAUGUUCUGGCUCUUUAGCAUGCCUGCUAGGCUCUAAGGCACCCUCAUGCCACAGUUUUAAAGCACAUCAUGACUUGUGCUAUGUCUUACAUAAAACUUGUGUUGGAAUUCUAAACUGGAAAUACUGUGCCCAAAUCCUUACCAUCAGAUCUGACAGUCUUAGGAGCCCAGCAGUAUCAGUGAGUAGAGGUGAAGUAUGAGGAAGCAGAGAGUCUUACAUGGAAGGAGACAGAGGAAAUCAUCAGGUCUAAUGACCCUGAUCUUUCAUUUAUGCUGGUGGUUUAUAUUCUGUGCAGGGCAAGGAGUUGCUCUGUAGCUGUUACUUUCGCUACUGGGAAGAAAUGAUGUGCAAAGAGGUAACAGGUUUCACAUUGCAAACAGCAACACUCCUCUGUUGGCAUGGUCAGUCUGAGAAUUUGUUUCCUUUGUGUGCUGGGUGAGUAAAUACCUUCCUGUGGUACCUGUGAGAGGAUCGGUCCCUUCCCUCUGUGCAGGAGCAGGAUUAAGCACCAGCCACUGUGCCUUGCCUGAGGUGUUGGCAAGUGGACCCAAGCCAUCAAGGUGUGACCACCUCUGGAUGAUGUCACAAGUUGGUUUUGACUGACAGUCACAAACCCAAAGCUGGAUAUCAUAAGUGACUAUGCUUAGGAAGAAAAUAAAAUAUGUUUCCCGCCAAAGGCUUAUUAAUUUAUCAAAAAUGUGCGUAUUCUUAGUAGCAGAUGGUCAAUAAUAGAUGAUAGAUGGCCUCCUCUGUGUAAAUGAAUGGCUGUAAUUCACUUGAGGGGAUCUGCUGAUGUCAUAAGCUGCCAGAGUGCAGCUUGAGUGAUUUAUUAACAGCUGCAGAAAUCCUAGGCUGAAUUACAUCCUUGUAUUCACUCAGGGUCUGCAGAUUUUUAUUUAUAAAAUGUGUAGGUUUGAAUUUCUUGAUGAUUAUAGGGAUCUCUUCUAUGACUCUGAUACAGGGGCAUAGUGAAGAAAUGCUGACUAUAAAGGCUCAGGUAUCUGCCUAUGAUUAAAGGCAGAUUUUCUUCACUGAUGCAUAUCAACAUCAUCACUUUUCUCUGUUUUUGAAAUCACCUAAUCAGUAUCUGUGGAGGUAUACAUAAGUCCUGUUUUGGUUUUUUUUUUUGCCCCCUACCAUUAAAUACAAAUGAUGUCAUUAUCUUCAGGUACAGGAACCUCUGUCACUCAGUGUUGUAGCCACAGCCUCUGCGCACCUUGGGCUGUGUCCAGCACAAAAAGCUGGGAGAGAGUUGAGAGCAAAAUGGAGUUUAGCUGUAAGUGGUUAUUAUCUCUAGUAAUGACUGGAUUUUGCUGUUUAGAAAGAAUUCAAGAGACAUAUAAGGCUAGAAAAGGUGCCUGGAAACCAAAAGUAUUUGUGUACAGGGAGGAGACUCUCCCUGUUCAGGGAGAAAGCCUUCCUUUCUUCCAUAAAAUUCUUGAGUGGUGAAAAUAAAAAUGUUCUGAAUAUGUAUCCUAGAUUUGUCACACCCUUCUAACAUAUGAAAGCAACUGAAACAAUAUUAAUUUCAAUUCCUCCUUCUGCCUCCCCAAAAAAUUGGAGCUGAUUAGGAUGAUAUUAAAUCCUGUUUCUCAAACAAGGGAUGCAUUUCCAAAAUGUAAUUCGAGUUGUAGAGGAAGAGGAAAAGGGAGAUGAGAAUAAAUUAUGAAGAAUUGCAUGGCAGGAAGGAACAGUCAGAAUUCAUUUGCAAAUAACUAUGCACAUUAUGUUUGCUAAAGAUGCAGAAUUUCUUGAGAGUACUCACAGCAAAUGUUUGGAUGACAGUUAGAACCCAGUGAAACUUCCAGUUUUCUCUCUUUUCUCUGAGAUUAGCUUUGUUUGUUGAUAGUUUAGAUUUCACCAGUCCUUGGAAUGGUGCUGCAGGUAUUGUCCUCAGCAAGGAAUUCUGAUUUGCUGUUGAACAAAUACUGCUUUGCUCCUCCUUUUCUUCACCAGUGUCUGUCUGUCUGACCUGUCUCUUGUGUAAGAGGUAUGAAUAGAAGGAUGGUGGUAUUUGUACAGAAAACAAAGGUUAGAACUUGAAGAAAAACAGGCUCCAGGUAUUGUUCACAGCCUUGAGGCAAAGCUCUUUCAAUUCAUGAUGAGUUUACUAAUUUCAGUAAGCCUGUUAUUGCUCUUAGAGUGUCAUGGACAAAAUCCAAUCACAUCAGGGACCCACAAUGUUAGAUAUUAUAGAAAUGCACAGAAAGGUAUCAAAAAGGUAUUUUAAAUAAAGUUGUGGGGUUUUUUUGUUUUGCUUUGUUUUUCCUGGAACUAAAUGCUCACUUCUGGAUGCUUUGAAAAUUGCUUAUGGUUUUGUAGUAGCAUAUCUCUGGAAACUUGACUCUCCUAGCUCACCUUCAACUUCAUAGGAACUGUACAUACAGCAGGUGACCAGCUGGACCACGGCCGGCCCAUGACUUGCACCUUCCAGGGUAGUUGUGAAAGUGUCUUCCAUUUCCUCUUGAAUUGUACCUGAAUCCAUCCCCUUCCUUUUCAAACUCAACUCAGGCUGGCUGGAGUUGCUUUUCCUUGUUUCUAUGUGUCUUUGCUUUGCUUGCUUACUUUGGAUGCAGUUUGUAUGAAGGCUGCUAUGCAAAAAUAUUUAGAGCUUGGCAGGUAUUUCCCUUAAGCUGUAUUGAUCUCUGUGAUUUCAUGCUUUGGAGGGAGAAAUUGUUACUGUCUUCCCAAAGCUCCGUUGUUACUCAGAAAUUCAUUGUAUUGGUGUGAGUUUUUCAUUUUCUUUUGCCAUACCAACAAGGAAGGCUGCUAAUUCUGUAUUUCUCUUUAUAACCAGCCUUUUCCUCCCUGCACAGACAGGCAAAUCAAGAACGUGCAAGACGACAGAGUCCCAAGAAUACAGAGUGUUUCUCCCCAUUCCUGGUUAUUCUGCAAGUUCUGAGACAAUUUUUUUCCACAAACAGCAGCAAGAUGCCUGGUGCUCUCAGUCCCCUGGGUCCUCUAAAAUAGAGAUGAAGCAGAGGUAGUUGUUACAGCUGAUGUAAUCCUGAGUGGCCACCAGAAGAAACAAUGAACUGCUUACUAUCUCUCAUGGUAAAUAGCAGUUAACCAGGUUCUCCUAUGCAGACUCUUUGGGCUGACUGGACCACACCUGUUAGAAGGGAGGAAGGAAUUUCAUUCACCCAUUACAGAUUGCUGAGUCCAGAGAGAUGGUAUUUGCAGUUGUUAGUGAACAGUCUCCAGCCAUGUGAACAGCAGUGGGAACCUCUGUGUCAAGUGAUAGAGCAAAACCAUGGAUUUCACCUUGCAACCUUUGUUCUUGUAAAAACCUUGGGGGGGUGCUUUUCUUUUCUUGGAGGGAGUUGUUUUGGUUUUGAGGGUUUUUUUUUUGUUUGUUUGUGUGGUUUGUCUUUAAAUGUACAGGAUCAUGGACUAUUUCUGAUGGAUACUGAUCUGAUUCCAUCUGAGUAUGCUGGUCAAAGUGUUAUUUGUCCAUCUAUAUUUAUCUACAUUGCUUGUACUAAUACACACCUGGAAAAAGCAGUGUCUGUUUCUAAAGUGUUCGGAGCAGAAAAAGGGCAAAAAGGAUCCAGAAAUGUGCUUCUUUCAUGUUCUUGUUGCAGAUUUUCAUGCACUGACACUGUUCUGCCAUUAUCUAAUUAUGGAAUCUAACAGUAAUUUAUUCUCAUCAUUGCUUUUGGAUUUGUUGGAGAGAGAUGUGGGUAUUCAUCUUUCUCCCUCUCCUACCAGAGCCUCAGGCCUUUGGCUUUUCCUGGUGGAGGAUGGUUCUCAAGAGUUUUUUUUAGCUGGGUUUUGUUUCGUUGUUUUUUUUUAAUUCAUGGGAUGCUCAGUGCUUUUAUGUUCCAUCAGCACUAAAGAGUUACCUCACAGAGAGCACUGGAUGCACAUGCAAAUCAUGUAUCCCUUCUGACAUAAACCACACAGGCACUUUGCCAAGAGUAAAUCCCAUGAGAAGGACAGUAAAUCAAGCAUGAUGUUCUCUUUUUCCCUAUGGAUACCUCAAGCCUCAGCUAUUGUUUCCAGAGAGGCUGCCUUACCCAGCAAUGGUGCAGUAACAUGGAUAAUUUGUGCACUUGUAAUUUUGACUUCAUAUCCCAGGGCUGGCACAAGAAUUUCUCUCCUUGGAAAAAAAAAAAAAAAAAAAAAGGAAAAGGGAAAAUAAAAGGAAAAAAUAGAGUAUUUCUGUCAAGUGGCAAAAAAUGAGUUGAGUGCAUCUCUGCAGCAUUUCCAUUGAACAAAAUGGAGUUUACUUGUUCACUGUUUGCUCAGAAAGGGAAAUAAUGUCUUCUACCAUGUGAUUACACAUUUUGGAAGAAUGUAAGAGGUUAAUUUAGGGGAUGGCAGGAAGGGGACUUAAAAAAAUUCUGUCCUUUUUUGCUUCAUUUAUGUAUUUUGGGUAAGAAUAAAAAAUCUGAGCUGAAGUAAAUUUGGACCAGAUCAUCUAUCAACACCUGCAAUAGUGGAAAAUGUCUUAGGAUUUAAUAUAUGUAACUGCUGAGCAUAUUUUUUUCUUGCAUGUCUCUUACAUUGGAGGCUUGCAACUUAUGGAGGCAGGUUUGAGAGCAAUUUGGAAUGAAGCCAGAAAAAAUCUCUUUUAAAGCCAGCCAAUUUUUGUUAGACAUUUGGAUACAGUACCACCUAUCAGUUAUGUGGGAGAAGCCACUUUGGUUUUAUUUGAUGUUGAAAGACAUACAGGAGUCUUGGUGUUCCUCUGGUGAUUCAACUCUUGGGUGCAAUGUAUCUGCUUUGCUGUAUCGCCCUUACAAUUCUGCAGAUGGGAGUGUCACACUAUUUUACAUGUUGUUGGCCCUGAAACUAUUUGAUCAGCCUCAGGAGAGGUUCAUGAAGGUCCAAGGCAAUUUCACUCUGUAGAGGUGGAAUUGUCAAUGACUUUCCCUUUGCUUUUUCAAAAUCAUUAUCCAUUUAAGGUGCCAAGCUUAGGCUGAUGGAGAGAGAUUGUUGCUCUGCUCUUUUGGCAAUCAGAGAUCACUGUAAAAUGUCACAAAGUGGGCACCUAUGUCUCUGUCUGCUUUUCAAAAUUUUGGUCAUAAUGGACAGUUGCCUACUUUGUUCAUGUAAUAUUGAAUUCUGCUAACGUCUCUGUGAUAAAUAAUUUGUUUACUCAGAGUGAAAGAAAAAUUGAUAAUUUGUCUGUGCUUACUUUUUAGGCUUUCCCUCAGUGUGCUUGUGAUAAGUAUGUGUAUCUCAGUGCAAUGGAAUUACAGAUUUGAUAAGAUGUCUUCCCUAAGUAUGAUAGAAAGUCUUGCUGGACUCCAAAGAGCAGUGCAGUAAAUCUGCCUCAGUUAUUAUCACUUUAGGAACUGUCAUAAUUGACCUGCUUCCUUGUGGCUGUAAAGCACAUUGAAAUAUGUUACUGUAAAAAGCCUUUUCACUCUCCUCUUAGCUCUGUCUGGGACUAAAGCAUGGAAAAAAAAUAAAAAAUUGGUUACUGCCAUGGAUGUACAUGGAGGAGGCCUAAUGCCUCUGUUCUAAGGUAUGGAAAGACUGUGUUAUUCCUGGAAGCAGAAUGGAAGGCAAGAGAUGGAAAUUUUUUCUGUACUCAUUUUUUCAUACAGGCAAGUGAGAAAUUACCCACACAUCUGGACUGGGCUUUACCUUGGCAACAAGGGAUUUUUUGGCUUGACAGGGUUUGGUUGUUUUCUGGUUUGUUUUUUUUUUUUUCUCCUUUAUGGACUCCAUCCUGAUGACUUUGGCAUUUGUGUGAAACCACAGUGGUAGAUGCAAGAGGCAGGAUUGCAAGCUCUGAAGUUGGUGAGUGGGCUGGUACUUUGAAAUCACAGAAGGGUAGAAUCAGAAAAGAAGGGAUGUAAUGUGUUCUAGACAUUCCUGCCUAUUCUUCUGACUUUGUUUUUCUGCAGACAGCACCUUCCUCUUGGUCAGUCUCAGAAGCUGUCUGUCUGCUUUUCUUCUCAGUUGUAACAUUUCACUAGCAGUUUGCAGAGGGAACAUAAUGGAAACACAAAAUCCUUUGCUGGAAAUGGUGCUAUUAGAGGGUGGGGAAAGGCUGGGAUGACAGAUUCCUCAAUGCAGUUCUAGUUUUGCAUGUGAAACAUUUCACUAAUCUCCUGUCUCCCUCUGUUAUUUCAUUGUCUUUCUAAUCUUCUUUCUUACACCCUAUCAGUAAGUUAAUGAAGUCUACCCCAAAGGUUUGCUGUAUGACUUAAGGGUUUUUGAAAAGUGCAUUGCAGUGAAGUAAAAGAUCCUCCUGAAAUUCAGCCUUUCACAUCUUCCUCAUUUCCCUUUAUUUAGAGGAAAAAUGAACUUGUAUCCAGCUUUCUAGAUCAACUAGAAAAAAAAGUUAAUUUUGAUUUGCUGUAACUUUCUGACAUUCCUUCUCAGCCUUCAGACAGAAGUAACCAUGGUCAUGGCAGUGCAGUCAUAGGUCUUGCAAGACAAAGGCUGAUUGGCAGUUUUGGCUUUCUUGAAAUUUCUGUGGGUUUUGAAGACCUGGAUCAGCUUUCUAGGAGGGUGUAGUUUCACCAGCAGCAGCAAGGAGGGCCCAGUGUGGAGAUACUGCUUUAAUGAAGUGUUGACAAAGAUGGAGCCUGUGCUCCAAGACUGAGGGCAUGUCUGGCUCACACGGUUCAGGGUGCUGAGUCUGUAGCUGAAGGCCAGUAACGUAAAUGCCAAACCCAUUUAUUUCUUUGAAGAAUUCCAAGAUGCCUCUGAUGGGAGGUAGAGAUAACAGGGAAAUCUGGCCAGUGACACACCAGGAUAAAAAGAGUUUUCCUAUUACUGUUAGAGUUAGUGAGAACAUGGAUGGAGUGAUCAGAGAAGAUGCUUGCACACAUAUCUACAUAAAACAAAUCGGUUUUGCUUCUCCUGCUUUGCUGUCCAUUCUCAUUCCCAUUAUCUGAAUGCAAAAGAAUGUCUGAUGAUAGGGGAAUUUUUUCUUGAUUCUUUAAUAUUGAUGGGAACCCCCUUUUUGUUUUAAGGAGCUCUGGCUUUUCUAGUCAGUGUUUUUCACACAAAGGUGAACAUGAUGUGCCGUCAUGUCAGAAAGCUGCUUCCAGCAUGAGAGGUCAUAUCUGCCUGACCUGCCAUGAGCAGAGAGAGGCUGUUCUCCCUCUCAGGGACUCAGAGCCCAGUUUAUCAAUACAGCCUUUUUCACAUCCCAGCUACUCUGGAAAAAUAGCUACUUGCUGGCAGCUAAUAAAUGAUUAGUACCAAGAAAAGGCUGCUAGGUUCAAAUGGCAUGACAUGGUGACAUGGCAGGGGGAUGGUAGGCAACAGCUGUCUACGUGGCUGCAGGAUGCAGUGAUUUUUCAGGGAAAGCUGAAGUCAGUGGGAAGGCCUUGGUUUCACUGAGGAACCUUGAGGGUAAGAGCAAUGUCCUAUUAAAUGUCAAAGUAGUCUGAUAGACUCUGUCUUAUGAACAGAAUUCCAGGCUUGAGAUCAGGCAUUAAGGACUGCCUUGUGUUCCUGUGCAUAAAGGGCACUGUGUGUAAGGCCCAGCUGCCAAAGAUGUUGCUGCAUGUGCAGUGUUGUGCUGAAUGCAGAGAUUACUGCACCUUCACAGCAAACCCUGAAGGUUUUCCUCAGCUGCCUCAAGAAAUACAGCAACUUUAUUCUUUGCUUUGAAAUAGCUUCUGUGCUGAAACUAAGAAGUACAGAAAAAUAACCUUCCUUUUUCCAGCCCAGCUUUUCUUUUGGUAGUGAGCUCCUCUCCUCAAGAAAGCCUUAGACCUGGUAUGUAAGAGCAAUGUCUUUAAAGGACUCCAUGAUUGAAAUCAGAACUUGUUCUUUGUUAUAGCUCCCAAAAAGGUCUUGGUCUUCUUUUUAUUAUUGUUAAAUAAUAUAAAUUCACUUUAACUUUUUAAUACUAACACCUAACAUCUGAUACAGGUAUAGUUUUGGUUUCUGCUAUCCUUUUUUUGUCCAGGAAGCAUAGAUACACAGACCAGAUCAAUGUUUUCAAUUAUGUUUUGUUUGUUUUUGUUUUUUUUUUAAUAUUAAAAUAAUCUCCAGGAUUCUAGCUUGCAAGAUCCUACCCUGCCUCAGCUUCUCUGUGAGGCUACAGUCUGUGUAUGAUCCCUGGUCUACCAGUCCUAUUAUAUGCCAUAAUAACCAUUAGACUGUUCUCUAGGCUUUUAUCCUUUUCAUCCAGUAUCCAUCCAUUAGCUGUAGCAGGCAGAGCUUGUAGGACAGGGUUGGCCAGCCUCAGCAUCCUUGCCCCAAAGAGGCCACUUCCCUGUGAAGCCCCCUCCCCCAGGCAUUGUGUCAGAGCUGCUCUGACCAUCUGGCCGUGCUCGGGUUGGGCAGUGGACACCCCUCGUGAGGCUGCUGCAUCUUUGAACCUGAACUCUUUGUGUGGAUUUGAGGCCAUACCUUCUGCAUUCACACAGAAAUGCAGACACUUUUGCAUCAUCUUCCAACUGCUUUGUGUUGGGGAUGGAAUUUUAGGUUACACAUUUGACAAGCAAGCAGCAGUAAUCUAGUUACAGUCCCUGUUAAGCUUUUAAAAGCCAAAUGGCCCCUCCUAACUGAGAAGUCAUCAGUGUAGAAGCCAGAUAUUUGUUACUUAAGCUAGACAUAAAAAAAAAGAAAAAAAAAAUCCAAAACCUCUCUUGGCUGUUCAUUUUUUCCUCAUAUGCUUGUUUACUCAAGGCAGAAAAAUGUGUUUGGUUAAAAUACUAGUAAAUGGAAUUUCCAGGAGGAGCUCUACUUUUGGUGUAUUUUUCAUCACCAUUUUGUAGCUAAUGCCUAAGUGCUGUACUACUGAGUUGUUCUGCUAGAACAUGUCCUAGCCCAUAUUCCUCUCUGCUCCAUAAAGGAAGGGAAACUCCACAGGUCAUAGGCCAGUAACCUAUUGAUUCAUGAUAUCAGACAGACUCUAUAGAGCAGGCAUUUUGCAAAAUCCUGCUGCCUUAGUCUAGCUGUUCAGCUCUCUGUUUCUUGUUGUGGAAAGUUUUCUCAUAUCUCAUGGGCCAGAUGAUCUGAUUUUUAUGUUAAUUUUCAGUUUCUUUUGAAGUAAAAGGUUUUCUGAAGUGGAAUUUUUCUGAGGAAAUAUGUUAAUGUACUGUGUCUCUGAAACCUCUUGUGGUGAGAUGGUAGGUAUAGACAGGACAGACUGACAAGGCCAUUUUUGUGGGGGCAAAGCACAGAGUCAAGCUUGCUUUCAAACAGAGGAUUGCUGGAUCCUUGUUUGCUCUCCUGCUGUUAGCUCUCUCUUAUUUAUAAGUCUGUGCUUUGUCCUCAUAUUUUGGGAGAGAAUUGUGAAAAAGGUGAUUCAUCCCUCAUGAUGCCUGACUCCCACUGACUCUCUGGAGCCUGGAUAGUUUGUAUACCCUGUACAAACUUGGGUGACUGCAUUAGUUUUGUGGCUUCCUGUGGUCAGCAUUUGAUCCUUCUGGGUCAUCUCUGAUUCCCUUGACUGUAGAAAUACUGACAUGCCUAGGCAUUGUGGCAUGUGUUCUCUAAUGGCCUUGGCAAAAGACACUAGUAAGCUUGGCUUACCUGUUUUGACUCUCUCAUGCUCCUCAUCUCAAAGUGAAUUGAGAAUUGUCAGUUUUUCUGUCAGCUUCUCCUCAGUGCUAGAGCCAUUUCAAGAUAAUAGUGCGACCACUCAGGCCAUGCCAUCUGCAAGAUGUUGAAUUUCUUGCUUGGGUUUGUUUAGUCAGCUAUGCAUUAUCCUACUUGCAGGACACAGAUGAGGUCACCACUGAGCUGUCAGGAAUGAAUUUAGGUUAGGGAUUUGGAGAAAACAGCAGUCUAUGCUUGUGCCACCUGAAGGAUUUCACACCAACUCUGUGUUUUUCACACUGCUUGUGCCUCAGGAUUAGCAUGAGCUUCAAGAGUCAAUGGGCAGAGUGUUUUCUUCAGGAAACAGCUAUUUGUGCUGUGGAAUUUUUGCUGGCUUCUGGAUUGCCAGAUGAAAUGUGAUGCAUGAUGUCCUAAAUGGGUUGACUCCUGGUUACAUGGAGAAGAGGAACUGAUACUGCUGGCUACAAGACUGUCUGAAGUAUCUGGGCUAAUAAAUCACAAGACAGGUGCCAGAAAAGGAUCUAGGGCUUUCCUUGGAAAUUAAUUUCUGAUGAAAUGUUUUUCCCCUAUCAGGCUGGUACUCUAAUGGAUUGACUUUCAUAUUUUGUGUCUAUACUUGUUUUCCUGAGUCCUUAAAAGUGCAAAUGCCUGUGUGUAUGCAUUUGUCCAAAGUUUCCUAAUGCUCUGAACAGUGGGGACUUGGACAUACUGCCUUCUGUGGAAAGCUGGUUCUUGUAAUAAGUUCAAAAAUUGUAUUCUGUAACUACUUAACAUUCUCCAAUAUUUAAUAGGAGGAUCCUGUUACCCUCCACAGGCUGUGAGCUUAGAAAACUGAGAACUAAAUAGAGACCAGGAAUUGUCCCAGUACUGACCUUCUGACUACCCAUUUCUUGCUCACUGCCCCAAAUUACUUCUUUUCUAUAGCAGAACAAUGUGAUGAUCUUACUUUCUCUCUAUGUUUCUGUAAGGGCAAAAAUUUUACCAGGAUAUUUUAAAUUAGCUCUUAAUAAAGCCUUUCUGAUUUAUUGCAGACUCUUCUGGAAAGUUAAGCCUCACAUAAAAUCCUGUAGCAGUGAUUUGGAAAUUUAAUUAUGUUUUUGCUUCACAGGUUAUGAAAAAAAAAUUCAUUGUGAGGGAGGAGAAGAAAGCUGAACUUUUGAAUCAGUCUCUUGCACUGAGGAAGGCUAGCUAGAGCUAGGUUCAUGAAUAAAACUUGUUUUUAUGGAACAACGUUUCUAAGCAAAGGAAAAGACAAACCGUAACUGAAAUCUAGCAUUCAAGGAAACUCUUGAGGCCAACAUCAGCAAAACAUUUGGUUUAUUACCACAGCCUGGGAACAGUUAUACUGAUGUAAAAUAACUGAGCCAAAGGAAUAUUACCAUUUAUUACCUCUGUUAUGACUGCUAAGUGUUGGUGCACAUGAUUGUCCAUUCUGGGUGGUGAUGAGGAUGCACAGGCAGGACAUUACCACCAUCUCUAGCCAAACCCAUGAAAAUCCCUCACCACAGAGUAUUCACAUGGAGGAGUUGCUGAUGCUGCUUUCAGAAGGAAGAAUGAGUGUCAGGGCCUUGAUGUGUCCCUUUAAGAGCAGAUCUUUGCCCUUUUCACCCCUUCUAUGCCAUUCAGCUAGUGCCUUUUAAAUGCUUUAUUCUAGCUUUAUAUAUUUACCUACGGCCACACAUCAAAAUCAAUACCUUCUCUUUAGAAUUCAUUUGAUGCAUUACAGUACUGGAGAGAAUUUCCAGUGGGAACACUAGGAAAUUGGAGAUUACUUAUCAAGUAAAUAUAUGAGGUCUGGUGCCAGAAGGCUGUUCUGGUAUCGUAAGUACAAUUUAAUAAUUUUUUGUUUUUGUGUAUGUCAAAAUCAUAACUGAAUGCUUCUUGCUUGUGAUUCUAAAGAAAUUUGACUGAGAUGCUUUUUUCUUUCUUUUCUCUCAGCAGCAGCUUCUAGAGUCUUUCCAUUCUGGUUGUGGAAAAACCUGGUGUAAUGAAGCUGCACAAGACCAAAUGCAUCCCCUGUCUUGGUCCCCUGGGUCAUCAGAGCUCUUCUUUGCUUUGUUCCUCCUGAUGCUUAAUCCAACCUGCUGUGCGAAGGAGGCUGCUCUAAUUGUGUUUGCUCCCUACACAAAUUUUUGUGGAAAACUCCAUGGAGAUAUUCAAACUAACUGCAGAGUAGCAGGUGUAAAUUAGCUUCUAUGAAUCUCUCUGCUGCAUAUGCUUCAGGGAUUUCAGGAUCUGGGCUGACUCUUUUUAUACUCCAUGCUAUGAUGACAUUGGAAGCCCACCAGUUUUCAAUCUCCACAUUGCUAGUCAAGGCCUUUCCUGCUUCUCACACCACUCCACCAGCGAGGAGGCUGGGGGUGCACAAGGAUUUGGGAAGGCACACAGCCAGGACAGCUGACCCCAACUGACCAAAGGGAUAUUCCAGACCAUACAGCAUUGUGCUCAACACAUGAAGCUGGGGGAAGAAGAAGGAAGGGCUGGAUGACAUUUGCCUUCCCAAGUCACUGUUAUACAAGAUGGAGCCCUCCUUUCCUGGGGACGGCUGGACACCUGCCCAUGGGAGGUGAAGUAAUUACUUGUAUUGUUUUGCUUGUAUGCACAUGGCUUUUGCUUUCCCUAUUAAACUGUCUUUAUCUCAACCCACUUUUACCCUUCUGAUUCUCUCCCCCAUCCCAUUGUGGGGGAUUGAGUGAGUGGCUCUAUCUGUCUGAGUUGCCAGCUGGUGUUGAACCAUGACAGUCUUAGAUCCAAAAAGAUAUUUAAUCUAAGAAUUGGGAGGACAAGCCACAGGAUCCAAAAAAAUUAUGUAUGAGUUUUAUAUAGUCCAGUUUUCAGAAGAAUAUAAUUUUACAUCUUGACAGUUUGAGAUUUUUAAUCUCCGCCAAAAAUCCUUGCUUCAGUAUUGUAUCUAUUUGUACUUUUUGAAUGGUCCCUGUUGAUAUUUCACAUUGGUAGAAAACUGGUCUUAUAGAAAGUAGAAGCAUCUGGAUAUGAAACACUAUUAAAUAUACAGUACCACAGAAGAUGGGUGCGCUCCACUUAUUUUUAGUGCUGCUCCAUUUCAUUUGAGACCAUGUACUUAGCUGAGUCUGGAAAUCUGUUUUCUGGGGACUGCACAAGCACAAGACUUCUGUUCUGAAUGGCUGCUAGAUUGCAAUCUUUCUGUCUAAACAAAAAGUUGGAGAUAAACAGGGAGGGAAAGGACCAGUUUCGGAGAUGUGCAGGGCUGAUCCGUACUAUGGUGAUUUGCCAACUUGGCCAUGCUGCUUCCUCAAACUGUUCAGGGAGCAGGGCAAUUACCAACCUCUGCUAGAGUACAUGCACUGCAGCUGGAUGCAGAAGUGCAACAAGUCAGGCAGCAGGCAGGACACAGGGAGAAAACAUCGGUGCUUAAUUUGAACUGACAGCAUUUGAUGCUACACAUCAGGAGCUGUAAAGGGACAGGAGGCAUUUCUCUUUAGCCGGACUGCUGAUGUCAACUUGGAUAGCAGAUGUUCCAGCUAGAUUACAGAGGCAGGAUAGAAAAGGUCUCAGUUUCUCACAGGAUCUACCUGCUAAUUCUACUGUUUUCCUCUAGCCUCCUCAGCUUUCUUUUAGGUUAUGCUGAGACCUCUGUCAUUUCCAUACAGAAAAAGUGAAAAUAUGUGGUCCUAGUUGGGCAUCACAUUUCCUACUGAGGGGCAGGAUUGGCAAGAAAUGGUGAUUAAAUAUUUGCACUUUCUCACUUUCCAUUUAUUUCAGGAAUCAGCCCACACCUGCACACAUGAAUAUAUUGAAAGCUGAAGCUGAAUGUGCAGUAGUUAAGCUUCAUGCCAUCCUUUAGCUGUGCUUUGUGCAGUCAGAUUAUACUCAAUGGUAUGAUACAGAAGCAUUCUGUGGGGAAUGCAGCAGUGGCAAUCCCAUCAAAUCAUUGGCAGGAAUGUGUAGUCUGCAGCCCUGCAUAAAUCCUGGGUCCCCAGGAAUCUAAAUCUGACCUGUACAGCAUAAGGAAUUGCUACACUUGAGAUAAACUGAAGCAAUUGGAGAAGGCUCAAGUGUUGACCUUCCUCUGCUUUAGACCCCUGCUGCCCCAACUCAACGAAUUUUAUCCUGAGCCUGCCAAUUGAUACAUAUUCCUACUGCUUACUGAAAGAGACAAUGCCCUGGCUAUUAAAUCUCUGAUGAUACUUGCUGAUGGUUUGAUGUUGUUGGUGCAGCUGUUAAGCAAAAUGUGUAAUUUUUACUUUCUAUUUACUUUGUUCUCUAGGAAGUUGUUUUAGCAUGUUUGAAUUGCUUUUGUAUCAUGCGUUGAAUAAUCUCUGUACACUACUAUUACUCCACCACAGCCUGGAGAAAAACCUGGGUUUGGAGUGCCAAGUAGAAGGCACUAUAUGUGCAUAUUAUCUGCUUCUCUGCAGAGCUUUGUUCUUGCAAACUUGCUCUUACAAAACACAGCACGGAGAAUGACAGGAGAAAGUGAGACUGGGAAUUCAGAGCUGUGGAAGUUACCAGUUAGCUGAGGGUUUGUUCUUGUUCUUGGUGUCUUGGAAGGCUGUUGGUUUGGUUUUUUGUUUUAAUCCGUGAAGACUGUAGUAAACGAGUUAAGAGGCAGUUCCUUUGUUUCCGCUCUG